rnacentral:rRNA from 1 species
UAUGGCAAAUGUGAGAUGCAGUGUAUGGAAUGUCAAAUUUCUAGUAUGAGAAAUUAACGAUUUAAGUCCUUCUUAAAUGAGGCCAUUUACCCAAAGAGGGUGCCAGGCCCGUAUAACGUUAAUGAUUACUAGAUGACAUUUCCAAAGAGUCGUGUUGCUUGAUAGUGCAGCACUAAGUGGGUGGUAAACUCCAUCUAAAACUAAAUAUAACCAUGAGACCGAUAGUAAACAAGUACCGUGAGGGAAAGUUGAAAAGAACUCUGAAUAGAGAGUUAAAUAGUACGUGAAACUGCUUAGAGGUUAAGCCCGAUGAACCUGAAUAUCCAUUAUGGAAAAUUCAUCAUUAUGAUUUUAAUAUUUAUAAUAUUAUAAUAAUGGUGUGCAUUUUUUCCAUAUAAGGACAUUGUAAUCUAUUAACAAACAGAUUUAUUAUAAGAUCAUUGCUUUAGUUUAUUCAAAUUAUUUUGCUUGCAAUUUAACAUAAGAUAAAUGCUUUUGAUUUGAUAAAGUGUUGAUAGAUUUAUUAUAUAUAGUGCUUGAAUAUAUUUAUAUAUUCUAUAAUAGCGUAUUGAUCAAUGAUUUUUAUGUUCAUUAUAUGCACUUAUAUGAUUAACAAUGCGAAAGAUUCAGGAUACCUUCGGGACCCGUCUUGAAACACGGACCAAGGAGUCUAACAUAUUUGCAAGUUAUUGGGAAUUAAAAACCUAAUAGCGAAAUUAACAUAACUUAUAUAAUGGGAUUAGUUUUUAGGUCUAUUUAUAGUCUAUUAAUUCAAUCCCGGGGCGUUCUAUACAGUUAUGUAUAAUAAUAUUUAUAUUAUUUAUACCUCUAACUAGAGCGUACCUUGAGCAUAUAUGCUGUGACCCGAAAGAUGGUGAACUAUACUUGAUCAGGUUGAAGUCAGGGGAAACCCUGAUGGAAGACCGAAACAGUUCUGACGUGCAAAUCGAUUGUCAGAAU